UACGGGGGGAGCAAGCGUUGUUCGGAUUUACUGGGCGUAAAGGGCGCGUAGGCGGCCACCGCAAGUCAGUUGUGAAAGCUCUGGGCUUAACCCAGAAAGGUCAGCUGAUACUGCGGGGCUAGAGUGCAGAAGGGGGCAACUGGAAUUCUCGGUGUAGCGGUGAAAUGCGCAGAUAUCAGGAGGAACACCAGCGGCGAAGGCGCUGCUCUGGGCCGGUACUGACGCUGAGGAGCGAAAGCGUGGGGAGCGAACAGG
rnacentral:rRNA from 1 species